ACACGUAGGGGGCGAGCGUUGUUCGGAAUCAUUGGGCGUAAAAGGCGCGCAGGCGGCGAGGCAAGUCCGGUGUGAAAGUGCUCGGCUCAACCGAGUGAUGCGCUGGAAACUGCCCUGCUUGAGUACAGGAGGGGACGUCGGAAUUCCAGGUGUAGGGGUGAAAUCUGUAGAUAUCUGGAAGAACACCGGUGGCGAAGGCGGACGUCUGGCCAUGGACGGACGCGGAGGCGCGAAGGUGCGGGGAGCGAACAGGUGUAGAUUCCCUGGUAGUCCGCACAGUAAAGGAUGUGCACCAGGUGGGGGGUGGUAGCCCUCGGUGCCGAAGCCAACGCAUUAAGUGCACCGCCUGGGGAGUAUGCUCGCAAGGUUGAAACUCAAAGGAAUUGACGGGG
rnacentral:rRNA from 1 species